CUGCAAAGUCGUUGCGGGAUUACGGGUGCACCACAGUCCGCAAGGACUGGCUAGCUGUGCCGCCCCUCCAUCCCCGGGUGUUUAGCAACGGAUCUGUAGUGCCGCGGACCCCCCGACAGGGGUGGGCAUUUGCAGAGCCAACGCGACAUACCGCGAGCGCGCAGGAUGUGACCCGAAAGAUGGUGAACUAUGCCUGAUCAGGUUGAAGUCAGGGGAAACCCUGAUGGAGGACCGAAGCAAUUCUGACGUGCAAAUCGAUUGUCAGAGUUGGGCAUAGGGGCGAAAGACCAAUCGAACCAUCUAGUAGCUGG
rnacentral:rRNA from 1 species